rnacentral:snoRNA from 1 species
AGUCCAUGAUGGGGGACCUUCCUUAACAACUCCUUGUAACGCUCCCAAAACUCAUACAAUGACUCUCCAUUUUGCUAAAAGAAAGUGGUGAUGUCAUUCCUCAUCUU